CCUACGGGAGGCUGCAGUGGGGAAUUUUGCGCAAUGCUCGUAAGAGUGACGCAGCGACGCCGCGUGAAUGACGAAGGCCUUCGGGUCGUAAAGCUCUUUCGUCAGGGAAGAAAAUGCAUAUAAGUAACAGUGUAUGUAUUUACGGUACCUGUAUAAGCAGCCCCGGCUAACUCCGUGCCAGCAGCCGCGGGAAUACGGAGGGGGCGAGCGUUGUUCGGAGUGACUGGGCGUAAAGAGCACGUAGGCGGUUUUGUAAGUCAUUAGUCAAAGAGUAGAGCUGAACUUUAGUAAGGCUAGUGAUACUAUAAUACUAGAGUAUCAGAGAGGAUUGCAGAAUUCCUGGUGUAGCGGUGAAAUGCGUAGAUAUCAGGAGGAAUACCGUUAGCGAAGGCGGCAAUCUGGCUGGAAACUGACGCUGAGGUGCGAAAGCGUGGGUAGCAAACAGGAUUAGAUACCCCUGUAGUC
rnacentral:rRNA from 1 species